GUCAGAUGUGUGACAACACGAUGGCGAACGGAACUCGAACUUGUGGGAAAUGUGAGUUAAAAUGUCAAUAACUUCGAGUCACGAUUCAACGAUUACUGCAUACAAGCUAACUACCGCGAACUCGCUAAAGAUCCUCUUACAGAAAGAGCCGCUCAUUACAAAAGUCUUCUGAGAGAAAUUUCAGCUUUACGCUCUGCACUUCCAGAUGAAGCCUUGUCGGUCGUCAGAUACACAAUCGAACCUCAAAUUCCAGAGGGAGAUUAAAAGAAACCCUUGGUUUAGAUGAAUAAAAUACGAGCCUAUUACACUGGCAGCACAGGAAGUUCUCUCCUGACUGAUCGAUACAAGUUCUGAACUACCUCCCAAACCCAUCACGAGUCCAUGCAAGAGUGGAAAGUUAAGGUUUAAACAUUCCACAUCAUCCCCCUGCCAUUCUAAAGAUAACAGAAGAGCUGAAGCUGCCAUUAAAGUUGCAGAAUCCUUGUUAAAAAGAGCUGAUGACUUCCACAGUGCUAUGCUGAUAUACAGGAACAAACAACCUCAAGGUCACACUUACUCGCCAGCCCUUCGCAUGCUUCUACAACAUGCCAGAACCACACUCCCUACCACAGAUUAACUCUUGACCCCCACCACACUAAACCAUAAUUGUUGAGGAGGAGAUCUCAAAGAAAAGGUGCCAUAGCAAAACACAUUACCACAAGUCAGCUAGUGUAGAAUAAGAACCACUCAUCAUUGGUACUUAUGCUUAUGCUAAACCACCUCUGCACCAGCAUGGGAAACCAUGGAUCUAUGGAGAAGUGAUCAACCAACACUGCUUAAGGCUGCAUGAUUCAAAGGAACAGAGUCCAACUAAAGCCUGCAGACCCAUCUUCCUGGAACCAAUCCCCAAGAAGUUGAAAUAAGCACACACAACACAAACAUUUACCAGAAAUGGUCAAUGGAAACUGCAAAGCAACCACAGUCCAGUCAACACCCUUCAGCCCAACCCAGUCUACCACUUUAGGGACCCCCCUUUCCUCAGACCCCAGUCAGUUUGCAAAUCAUAAAUACCACACUAGUUGACCCUCAGGCCCCUGAAGACCAAGCACCAGACAUUACACCACCACAACCCCCGGAACUAACACAGAAGUUAAGCAGACCCAGUCUAGACGGCUAAUUUAAAAUCCCAAAAGACUGAAAGACUAUGUCACAAACUAGUCAUAAGCUGUUUUUUUAUUUAUAAGCAUCGACUAAGAGUCACUGAACAUACAAACAGUUAACAUGCAUUUCUACUAUUGUUCUAUUGUUGUCAUUCGAGUGUAGCAUACCAUCUGUAUGGUCCUAGGCUAUGGGUAUUUAAGUUAUAGUCCCAGGUUGGUUUUUGUUUUGGGUUUUUAGUCUCUUUCUUUUGUUAGGAGAUGUUGGUUAGUGGCUACUCGCACAAUUAUACGUCAGAGAUACAUUCUUGUAGUCUGCCAUUUUGAUUGCACUAACCACAAAUAAAGGAAGUUCUGUCACAAGUAUUGGCCCCUAGACUUGGUGUCAGAAGUCAUGAUGGUGUUGUUUCUGUCACUAGUAUUGGUCCCUUAACUAAAUCUCUGAGGUGAUGACUAUAAAUAAAUUGAAAGCUGUUGAACUACCUGUGAGGUGUGUGCAAUGUAAGAUUUGCACAAAUUUUGUCGAUAUUCUCGCAAAUUAUGACUGGCAAAUACAGAGAGACGAACUUGA